UGAGGCUUGAGUCACUUGUCCACAUUCACACAGCUGUUCUGAGUGGCAGAGAUAGAACUCAGCCUGUGCCCUGUGACCCGGUGCCUUCAGGAUGUGGGGCUGGGGCUCGAGCAAGAGCGUGGAGCUCCCUGCAGACUUCUGAGCAGUUCACAUAAGGAUGUUAAUCAAAGCACCAAUAUUGACAAGUUUGUGGAGAGUGGUAACAUGCAGAGGGAAGAACUGAGAAAAGACCGAGAGUGAGCAGGCAAAGGGAUGAAAAGGAGCCAGAGGGGUACACCAACCAAGAGCCGCCAAGCAGGGGAGCAGGGAAGAAAAGGAAACAGAAGACAGUCUUUGCCACCGAUUGAAGGCAAUAAGGUGAACAGAUUAAAAAGACAUAUAGCAAAAGGAUAUUGUACAAGUGAAAACCAAUUUUCAUUGACAGGGAACUUACCUGGUUCAGCAGUGCUGAUCAUUCAUUCAUUUACUCUUUCAUUGUUAUCAUUCAAUAACUAUUUUGUAAGCACCUUCCACAAGGUGCACAAGCACCUUCCACAAGGCCACAAGGAAGAAGACCACGUUAACUCUGAAUUAUGCCCAGAGUUCUAGAGUCUUCUUUCACUUAAUAGACAAUAAAUGGGCAAUUCCAUGCACAA